AUCUGCACUACCUUCUUGUCGAGAUAGCUUGCAAGAACUAUUUCUUAGUAAACUAAACCUUGUCAAGCUUUAGGCGCAGUUUUUCUUUCAUUCACUGUCUACAUUAAAUUAUCUUCUUUUUUGUUUCAUUAGGAACUUGUUCAGAAGCUUUUCCGAGGAGGGGAACUUAGAACUUGGUGGGUGCCUGGAAAACUAUCCUUGUCAAAAAGGGAAAGUUGGAAUCAGAGGAUUUUGAUAUUGUACAAG